AUUGAACGCUGGCGGCAGGCCUAACACAUGCAAGUCGAGCGAGCGGCGGACGGGUGAGUAACGUCUGGGAAACUGCCUGAUGGAGGGGGAUAACCACUGGAAAAGGUAGUCAAAAACGCAUACCAUGAGAGGUGCACAGAUGGGAUUAGCUAGUGGGUGGGGUAACGGCUCACCAAGGCGACGAAACCUAGCUGGUCUGAGAGGAUGACCGGCCACACUGGAACUGAGACACGGUCCAGACUCCUACGGGAGGCAGCAGUGGGGAAUAUUGCGCAAUGGGCGAAAGCCUGAUGCAGCCAUGCCGCGUGUGUGAAGAAGGUCUUCGGGUUGUAAAGCUCUUUCGUCAGAGAAGCGUUACCCACAGAGAAAGCACCGGCUAACUCCGUGCCAGCCGCCGCGGUAAUUC
rnacentral:rRNA from 1 species